AAUAAAAUAUUGUUGGCAUUAAAAAAAAACAACUGCCAGACGGGAAUGGCAAGAAAUAGUCAAAGUGAUGAAUAGCAAGAACCUACAACCAAGAGUACUCUACCCAGCCAAGCUAACAUUUAGAAUCGAAGGUCAGCUAUAGAGCUUC